UACGUAGGGUGCGAGCGUUGUCCGGAAUUAUUGGGCGUAAAGAGCUCGUAGGCGGCUUGUCACGUCGGAUGUGAAAGCCCGGGGCUUAACUCCGGGUCUGCAUUCGAUACGGGCUAAGACUAGAGUGUGAGGGGAGAUCGGAAUUCCUGGUGUAGCGGUGAAAUGCGCAGAUAUCAGGAGGAACACCGGUGGCGAAAGCGGCUCUCUGGACCACAACUGACGCUGAGGCGCGAAAGCUAGGGGAGCAAACAGG
rnacentral:rRNA from 1 species